rnacentral:misc_RNA from 1 species
GUUUUGUGUCGAUUCGAUCUUCUUCUGAUCUUCUUUUUUUUUUAAAUUCAGAAAUUUCCCCUUUUCUUUAACUUCAAUCUUGCACCAAAUUCAGAACAACUUUCUGAGUGUAGUAAACCGAAAGCAUCAUAAAUUCCUCCAGAAAUUUCACUCUAAGCAGAGAAUAAAAGUUGCUUCGAAUUUUGUAUCAAGAAACUAAAAAAUGGGGUUCACGCAAUCAAAAUAAAGCAAGAAUUUCAUAUAUUACUUCAAAUCUGUAAUUGAU